rnacentral:rRNA from 1 species
UGUGGAUGGCUCAUUAAACCAGUGAUAAUUUGACAGGUUUACUAUGCCGGAUAUCCCAGGCAAAUCUUGGACUAAUACGUGUAACAAUGAUAAGCUCUAACUCUAUCAGGGAGGAGUGUGCUUAUGAAUCGAAAACCAAUGUAUGAACUUGUUCAUGCUUAUUAAAUUGAAGAAACAUAACUUCACUGUUCGUGACGAAAGUUGCGACAUGGCUGAUAGGCCACUGCCCCAUCAACUUUAUACUUGGGUAUAGACUAAGUAUGGUUACAACGGGUAACGGGGAAUGAAGGUUUGAUUCCGAGAGGCAGCCUGAGAAACGGCUACCGGCCCUAAGGGGGACAGCAGGCGCGAAAAUUACCCAAUGCUGAUUCAGUGAGGUAGUGACGAUAAAUAACAAUCCGAGUAUCUUUGAUACUUGGAAUUGGAAUGAGAAAACAUUAAAUAUCUUAACGAAAUCAAUUGGAGGGCAAGUCUGGUGCCAGCAGCCGCGGUAAUUCCAGCUCCAAUAGCGUAUAUUUAAAUUGCUGUGGUUAAAACGCCCGUAGUUAAACUUGUUGGGGCAAAAGGUUGAUAAAGUCAAGUUUAAAUGUUCUAUAAUGGAUAUACUUGUACUUUUAUUCAAACCCCCCGAGCAGCAAAUAAUAAGUCUUUUGACUUUUAAGAUUUAUGGGAUUUUUUGGUUAAAAUUUAACCUGCCCAUUUUUUAAAAUACCUCUUGCAGGUGUUAGUUAAUAAGACAUUUACCUUGAUUUAAUCAAAGCGUUCAAAGCAGGCAAUGAUUGCUCGAAUGUAUUAGCAUGGAAUAAUAUAAGAAGACUUGUGACAAAUUUUGUUGGUUUUAAGACCACAAGUAAUGAUCGAUGGGAUAGGUUCGGGACAUUAGUAUUUACUCGCUAGAGGUGAAAUUCUUGGAUUGAGUAAGGACUAUCUACAGCGAAAGCAUUUGUCAGGGACCUAUUCAUCGAUCAAGGACGAAAGUUGGGGGAUCCAAGAUGAUUAGAUACCGUCGUAGUCCUAACCCUAAUCAUUGCCAACUCUGAGUUGGUGAAACAAUAUACAAAAGAUCAUCAUCUCCCCCGAGAAAUCAUAAGUUUU